rnacentral:rRNA from 1 species
GUAAUGCAUCGGGACCUACCUGAACGUGGGGGAUAACGUAGGGAAACUUACGCUAAUACCGCAUACGUCCUACGGGAGAAAGCGGGGGACCUUCGGGCCUCGCGCGGUCAGACGGACCGAUGUUCGAUUAGCUAGUUGGUAAGGUAAUGGCUUACCAAGGCGACGAUCGAUAGCUGGUCUGAGAGGAUGAUCAGCCACACUGGAACUGAGACACGGUCCAGACUCCUACGGGAGGCAGCAGUGGGGAAUAUUGGACAAUGGGCGCAAGCCUGAUCCAGCAAUGCCGCGUGUGUGAAGAAGGCCUUCGGGUUGUAAAGCACUUUUAUCAGGAACGAAAUACUACCGGUUAAUAACCGGUGGGGCUGACGGUACCUGGGGAAUAAGCACCGGCUAACUUCGUGCCAGCAGCCGCGGUAAUACGAAGGGUGCGAGCGUUAAUCGGAAUUACUGGGCGUAAAGGGUGCGUAGGCGGUUUGUUAAGUCUGUCGUGAAAUCCCCGGGCUCAACCUGGGAAUGGCGAUGGAUACUGGCAAGCUAGAGUGUGUCAGAGGA